rnacentral:miRNA from 1 species
AUUGCUUCUGUGGACAGGUGUCUUUUAUAGAGGUAACAAGCUGAGAUUAUGAGCACUCCCUUUAAGAGAGUGUUCCUAAUCUCAGCUUGUUACCUCUAUAAAAGACACCUGGGAGCCAGAAA